UACGGAGGGUGCGAGCGUUGUCCGGAAUCACUGGGCGUAAAGGGCGCGUAGGCGGCGCGGGCAGUCCCCGGUGAAAGCUUGGGGCUCAACCCCGAGUCGGCCGUCGAUACUCCCGGGCUGGAGCACUGUAGAGGCAGGUGGAAUUCCGGGUGUAGCGGUGGAAUGCGUAGAGAUCCGGAAGAACACCGGUGGCGAAGGCGGCCUGCUGGGCAGUGGCUGACGCUGAGGCGCGACAGCGUGGGGAGCAAACAGG
rnacentral:rRNA from 1 species